AGUGAAGCGGCACAGCUCAAUUUGAAAUCUGGCUUCGGCCCCGAGUUGUAAUUUGCAGAGGAUGUUUCUGGCGCGGUGCCUUCCGAGUUUCCUGGAACGGGACGCCACAGAGGGUGAGAGCCCCGUAUGGUCGGACACCAAGCCUGUGUGAAACUCCUUCGACGAGUCGAGUAGUUUGGGAAUGCUGCUCUAAAUGGGAGGUAAAUCUCUUCUAAAGCUAAAUACCGGCCAGAGACCGAUAGCGCACAAGUAGAGUGAUCGAAAGAUGAAAAGCACCUUGAAAAGGGGGUUAAAUAGUACGUGAAAUUGUUGAAAGGGAAGCACUUAUGACCAGACUUGGGCCGGGCGGCUCAUCAGGGGUUCUCCCCUGUGCACUCCGCCCGGCACAGGCCAGCAUCGGUUUUCGCGGGGGGAUAAGACCGACGGGAACGUAGCACCCUCCGGGGUGUGUUAUAGCCCGGCGGACGAUACCCUCGCGGGGACCGAGGUCCGCGCUCCGCAAGGAUGCUGGCGUAAUGGUCAUCAGUGACCCGUCUUGAAACACGGACCAAGGAGUCGUCCAUUAGAGCGAGCGUUUGGGUGUAAAACCCGCACGCGUAAUGAAAGUGAACGCAGGUGAGAGCUUCGGCGCAUCAUCGACCGAUCCUGAUGUUCUCGGAAGGAUUUGAGUAAGAGUUUUAACGGACGGACCCGAAAGACAGUGAACUAUGCUUGUAUAGGGUGAAGCCAGAGGAAACUCUGGUGGAGGCUCGCAGCGGUUCUGACGUGCAAAUCGAUCGUCAAAUAUGAGCAUGGGGGCGAAAGACUAAUCGAACUGUCUAGUAGCUGGUUACCGCCGAAGUUUCCCUCAGGAUAGCAGUGUUGAUCUUCAGUUUUAUGAGGUAAAGCGAAUGAUUAGGGACUCGGGGGCUAUAUAUGCC
rnacentral:rRNA from 1 species